CUGUGGAUCAGAGCGGAGGAGAAAUUAUUAGUAAAGUCUGUAAACGUCUUCUUGCUGCUUCUCAACCACGGAGAGCUAAUUUAAAGACUUUGCAACGUGAAUCCUUCUGUCAGUUUCAAUGUUGUCUCAGGCUAAAUAAUAUGUAAAAGUGUAAUAACACUGUCUGUAGCGACCAGCUGAACAGUGUGUACAGUUACUAGUGUAACCAAGUGGAACUGACGGGGUGAAACUAUUGGUUCCGCCGGACCGGUAAUGGGGUGCACGGGCCCUGAUUAGCUAAAAAGAUGCACCUGCUGGCAAAUCGCGGGCUUUGUCGUUCUCUCCGGUGUCACGAGCGGGUGUGCUGAGUCUGCUCUCUGUCUUCCCCGCCACGAGUGGGGGUGCCGAGUCCAACUACUUGCUCUCCCGCAACAAGCGGGGACAUAGCGUGAGGCCGCAUGAGAAGUUGCGUCGGUAGCGCAGUGUCUGGGAGGCAUCCGUUACGGAGGGGACAGCGUGUGUUUGGGGGAUGGCUGAUUCGGAGCUUCCUGAGCAGUGCACCCAAUGGUAGCUGGGGGGGAAUCCAAGUGGGGGUGGCUGGGUUGCUGAACAUUCGGUGAUCUGAGGGUCUUGAUGCUCGGUCCUGAAGCUCCCGUCUGAUGAGGUUUACCUGAACCCAGCAGACUCUCCACACAGUAUGAGAAACCACCACUGACCUGAGAGCUCCAUCAGCAUCUGACACAACUUCAGUCUACAAGAAACCCUUUACUGAUGGAGUGCAUGAUCUGGACAGUUUACAUACAAGUUAUGGCUUUGCGACUUUUUGCAUUAUUGUUACCCAAUAUAUAUUUUAAUGUCAGUUUAUGACUAAAGAGCUUUAUCUUUAAGGAGGGUUUUUGUAAUUUGUUAAUUACAAUUAAUGAUCUUGUGGUAUUAAAAAAAUAGACCGUGUUCUCUCGCAAAGGUUUUAUGUAACAACACUGUUUAAACGUGAUAUAAAAAUAGGUAUUUGAUUUCAUGCAUGCAGAGGGGUGUAUAUAUACCUGGUCCAUUUAACACCUAGACUAUGAAAAUAUAAUCCUUUACUACAGGUAAUAAAUACUGACUGUGAGCAAUGCAAAGCAUUCAGUCAAACUUUAGACAGCAGACAGAUGACAAUAUGAAUGUUACAAUAUUCUCUACAGUAUUUUUAAAGUGUUUCAAACAUAAUCUGAAGCUUUUACAAUUUCACAGAAUGAAUAUGGCAAUAACUGUCAGACAAGAAAAAAACUCACAAAUGCCUUGUGUUAGGGUAAAUGCCAAAGCAACUCGCCAGCAGGGUGGCCAACAGAACCAGUUGGGUGAAGUUAGAACCAAGGUCACUUCCAGAACCAAACCAAAGCAACAGAAUACCUCUCCAACAAUGAGGGAAAUUCGGUUUGAGUGCAACCCCAAGCAAGAAGUAUAACGUAAGGUCCAAAACCACCUCGGUCCCCCAUCAGCUGGCCUACCCUUCUAACACCAAAGUUCACUUUGUAAGUUGGGGUUGGGAACCUUGGGAGUCGAGGACACUCCUCAAAUUCACCACACCUAACACCCUGCACAUUCUGUUCUUGGCCUUCUUGGAAGAUCUUAUCUCAAUGCAUUGCCCAACAGAUAUACACCUCACUAGCUGUAAGGGGCUCUAUCAACACCCAUGCCCUGCUUGACUUUGGAUUUAAAAUAAAUCUGUGUUCUAGCACUUUUGCAGAGGUUGCUAGAGCAAUGCUCUCUCUCUGCAAGCCAUUGCAAAUCAACAUCUGCAACAUGAGCAUUACCAGUUACAUGCAGGAUAAGUCAGCCAUCACAAAAUAUGCUUGGGUCAACACACCACUCCAGGAGAUAAAAAAAUAAACUACACAGAAAAUAUGUUUCAAAUCCCCAUUCACUCAUGGUGCUUAUGAAUCCUAUAGAAAUAAAUACACUCAUACCAUUAGAUCUGCAAAAAAGAAAUAUUUCGGUGAAAAAUGUAUGUAGUGUAAAACAACACGUGGAAGUAAUAAAUCAGGUGUUGCAAAGAGAAAAAAAUGACCCCAGAGCUUCCUUCAGUCUUUUUGGAUAGUGAAAAUUCUCUUGACAAGCCAUUUGAUAUAGCUCAAAAAUUGAAUGAAUUCUUUGAAAAUAUUGGUCAUGAAUUAGCUAACAAUAUUCCUGCUUGUCAUGGGAAUCCACUGGAUUUUAUUUCAAUAAAUGUCCCUAUUAUCUCUAAUAUUAUGCCCACUGAUAUUCAAGUGAUAUAAUCGAUGAUCUUAAAACAUCUUCAACUGGCCAUGACAUCAUUUUUUGCAUUCCUUGUCAAACAGGUCAAUAUUGCAGCCACUUGCUCACAUCUCCACCUUGUCUUUGAAAACAGGUGUUGUGCCAGAAGAUUUAAAAAUUGCCAAAGUCAUUCCUUUGUUUAAACCAGAAAAUCCACGUUGUUUUAACAACUAUAGACCCAUAUCUAUUUUGCCUUGCUUUUCAAAAAUACUAGAAAAAAUUGUACACAAAAGGAUUAUGUUUCAUGUAGAGCCUGAUUCAUUUCUUUACAAACACCAGUAUGGUUUCCUUAAAAAUCAUUCAACUUAUAUGGCUUUACUUUACCUUGUUGAUAAAGUUAUCUCUGCACUUGAUAUUAAUGACCUUGCUUGCAGUAUUUUCAUAGACCUUUCCAAAGCCUUUGAUACAGUAAACCAUCAUAUUUGAUUGGAAAAGCUGCAUAAAUAUGGUUUCAAUGAUAUUGCAUACAAAUGUUUAAUACUGAUGUCUCCAAUAGAAGACAGUUUGUUUGUGUUAACGGUUGCUGCUCCAACGAAGCCAGACUAAUAUGUGGGGUUCCACAGUGGUCCGUUACCAAUAUUAACACUUAUUUAUAAUAAUUUUUGAAUAUAAAAAAAUAUAUUAUUUUAUUAUUUUCAGUGGCAAAAGACCAUACUCUAAGGAUUUAUCUAAAAUUUAAAUUUAAUGUUUUGAGAUGCCUCAAGUGUCAUCUACAAAAUUCCUGGGAACUAUUAUUGAUGAGAGUUUAAGUUGGAGUAAACAUAUUGACUUAUCUAUUAACAAACAAAUCUAUUGGAAUAAUGAGGGUUAGACAUCUUGUCUCUGCAAACUGUCUCCUUAUUCUUUAUUAUGGUAUAAUUUAUCCCUAUCGUUCAUAUUGUAAUGUAGUUUGGGCAAGUACUUUUCCUACUACUCUGUAAAAAAUGUUGGUCCUCCAGAAACGUUUUGUUAUGAUUGCAACCCAAUCACAGUCAGACAUCUCAUCUGCUCUUCUAUUUCAGAAACUGCAGAUUCUUACUAUUUAUGACAUCAAUAUUUCUCAAAUUUGUGUUUUUAUUGAUAAGAUACUUUCAGGUGAAGGGAAUAUUCCUGAUAAUUUCAAGACCUACUUUAAAGUCAAUUCACAGGUUCACUCUGACUCAACUCAUCAAUCUUCAGACCUUAAUCCUCCCAAAUUACUGACUAGCAGAGGUCAAUUUUCAAUAAGAUUUAGGGGAACCAAAUUAUGAAUGACUUUUCCCACCUAACAAAAAAAUGUUCAUCUAAAAAAUGUUUCAAAAGGUGCUUCAAUUAAAUGUAAUUGCUGUAAUUUUAUGUAUUAAUGUUCAUGUCUUUCUUGUUUUAGCUGUUAUAUUAUAUUUAUAGUUGUUUCACUCUUAGGGACUUGCCAUUACCAUUGCUUAGGAGUUACUGUAGGUGUAUAAACCAAUAUCCCCUGAACAAACACAAGCCCACGCUUACUCUCACACACAUGCACUCAUGUGCACGCACACUUAUGUCUAACACAUCGACACAAUUACAUUUUCUUUCUCUUUUGUUGUUUGUAAUGUAUAGAUAUUGUUAUCAUAUUUCAUAUCUUGUAAAAACAUCUUGUCAAUAAUAUUUUAGGUAGUCAUAUCUUAUGCAUGUUCAUUUUAUGUUCUGUGUAAUAUUGUGAAAUUUUAAUAUUAUAUAGGUGGAGGCUUCAAAUAAGCCC